AUCACCGCUAGGGAAAACAAGCCCAGCCUCGCUGCGAAGUGCCAAACUCUUCCCUCCUCGCAGCCUGCUGAUAGAUUUUAGGAGAGCCACUGAGAUCCUCCCUUCCUGGCUUGCCCCCACCCAGCUCCCUUCCCCCGCAGGGUGAGACAGGAUGGCUGAGGGACGGAGCCUCUCCUCGGUGUACCGCUACCGACUAAACCGCUCCGAGGGAAACCAGCGGGGAAACGUUCCAGCCGGAGCCAGCGGACCGUUCCCGAUGGAAAAUGAAUCCUACAUACAGAAGACAUACUGUGUUUAUGAAGAUUGGAAUGAAAAUGAAAAGAGCAUCUAAAGCUGGCAAUGUUUGACUCCUAGGAAACAAAAGGAAAUAAAGAGGAUGAAUUUUAAAUUUGGAAGAACUCAGUGAACUUUUAAGGACAGAUGACACUUGAUAAUGUUAACUGAAAUCUGUUUAACUCAUGAAGUCAUAACUCAGUUUCUCCUCAAACCGUGCUGCUGUGCUGGCAACAAGCAGCUCUUUAGCAAUAUCAAAUAAGCAGAUGAUGGAAAAGAAACAAUUCCCUUAUGUUCCUUUCAGUAAUAAAAUAAGCAGUCUAUAAAGCUAAUACCUUUGCACACAGUCUCAGGGUUUUAUGGUAAUCUUAUUAGAUAUUUUUGCAGCUAUAAAUUUCCACAUGUAGUGGAAUGUAUCUAAAAGAUGCAGGUCAAUCAGUGUCACAAGUCAAAAUAUGUGUUGAAAAAUAAACUUAUUUUUUAUAAUCCA